UUCCGGUUGAUCCUGCCGGACCCUACUGCUAUCGGGGUGGGACUAAAACAUGCAAGUCGAGCGUCUCCAAGCCAUGGUGGAGGCGCGGCGUACGGCUCAGUAACACGUGGCUAACCUACCCUUGGGACGGGGACAACCCCGGGAAACUGGGGCUAAUCCCCGAUAGGUGAGGAGGCCUGGAAUGGUUCUUCGCUGAAAAGGCGUUGAAACCAUGCUUUUCAACGUCGCCUAAGGAUGGGGCCGCGCCCGAUCAGGUUGUUGGUGGGGUAACGGCUCACCAAGCCUAUAACCGGUACGGGCCGUGAGAGCGGGAGCCCGGAGAUGGGCACUGAGACAAGGGCCCAGGCCCUACGGGGCGCAGCAGUCGCGAAAACUCCGCAAUACGCGAAAGCGUGACGGGGCUAUCCCGAGUGCCAUCCGCUGAGGAUGGCUUUUCCCCAGUGUAUAAAGCUGGGGGAAUAAGGAGAGGGCAAGACUGGUGUCAGCCGCCGCGGUAAUACCAGCUCUCCGAGUGGUGGGGAUGCUUAUUGGGCCUAAAGCAUCCGUAGCUGGUUGGGCAAGUUCUCCGUUAAAUCCAACGAUUCAAUCGUUGGGCUGCGGGGGAUACUGCCCGGCUAGGGGGCGGGAGAGGCCGACGGUAUUCUCGGGGUAGGGGUGAAAUCCUAUAAUCCCGGGAGGACCACCAGUGGCGAAGGCUGUCGGCUAGAACGCGCCCGACGGUGAGGGAUGAAAGCUGGGGGAGCGAACCGGAUUAGAUACCCGGGUAGUCCCAGCUGUAAACGAUGCAGGCUAGGUGUUGGCGCGGCUACGUGCCGCUCUAGUGCCGCAGGGAAGCCGUUAAGCCUGCCGCCUGGGAAGUACGGCCGCAAGGCUGAAACUUAAAGGAAUUGGCGGGGGAGCAC
rnacentral:rRNA from 1 species